rnacentral:tRNA from 1 species
GCCGGGGUGGCGGAAUGGCUUACGCGCGAGUUUCAAAAACUCGUGAUGGCAACAUCAUGAGGGUCCGACUCCCUCUCCCGGCA